AGCGAACGCUGGCGGCACGCCUACUACAUGCAAGUCGAAGGGCCCCUCGGGGCAGUGGCGGACGUGUGAGUAACUGGUGGGGACGUGCUCUUCGGUACGGAACAACUCAGGGAAACUUCAGCUAAUACCGUAGGAGCCCUACGGGGGAAAGAUUUAUCCCCAUUGGAGCCGCCCGCGUUGGAUUAGGUAGUUGGUGGGGUAACGGCGAAACAGGGCUACGCUCCCUAGCUGGCAUGGGAGAAUGAGCAGCCAACCUGGGACUGAGACACGGCCCAGACUGCUACGGGAGGCAGCGGUAGGGAAUUUUGCGGCAUGGGCGAAAGCCUGACGCUGCGAGGCCGCGUGAAUGAUGAAGGUCUUAGGAUUGUAAAAUUCUUUCACCGGGGAAGAUGAUGACGGUACCCGGAGAAGAAGCCCCGGCUAACUUCGUGCCAGCCGCCGCGGUAAGAC
rnacentral:rRNA from 1 species